rnacentral:ncRNA from 1 species
UGCGGGUCUGCGCUGGGAGCCACUGUAGGUCGUCCUCACGGGCGGCAGCCGCGCAAUGCGGUGGGAUCCUACAGUCCGGGACCCGCGAUGAG